rnacentral:rRNA from 1 species
GAUGAACGCUAGCGGCAGGCCUAACACAUGCAAGUCGAGGGGUAGUCUAGCAAUAGAUGAGACCGGCGCACGGGUGCGUAACGCGUAUGCAAUCUACCUUUUACAGAGGGAUAGCCCAGAGAAAUUUGGAUUAAUACCUCAUAGCAUUGCGAAAUGGCAUCAUUUUGCAAUUAAAGUUCCAACGGUAAAAGAUGAGCAUGCGUCCUAUUAGCUAGAUGGUAAGGUAACGGCUUACCAUGGCUACGAUAGGUAGGGGUCCUGAGAGGGAGAUCCCCCACACUGGUACUGAGACACGGACCAGACUCCUACGGGAGGCAGCAGUGAGGAAUAUUGGACAAUGGGCGCAAGCCUGAUCCAGCCAUGCCGCGUGCAGGAAGACGCAUCUAUGGUGUGUAAACUGCUUUUGUACGGGAAGAAACACCCCCUCGUGAGGGGGCUUGACGGUACCGUAAGAAUAAGGAUCGGCUAACUCCGUGCCAGCAGCCGCGGUAAUACGGAGGAUCCAAGCGUUAUCCGGAAUCAUUGGGUUUAAAGGGUCCGUAGGCGGUUUAGUAAGUCAGUGGUGAAAGCCCAUCGCUCAACGAUGGAACGGCCAUUGAUACUGCUAGACUUGAAUUACUAGGAAGUAACUAGAAUAUGUAGUGUAGCGGUGAAAUGCUUAGAUAUUACAUGGAAUACCAAUUGCGAAGGCAGGUUACUACUAGUGGAUUGACGCUGAUGGACGAAAGCGUGGGGAGCGAAUAGGAUUAGAUACCCUGGUAGUCCACGCCGUAAACGAUGGAUACUAGCUGUUCGGAGCAAUCUGAGUGGCUAAGCGAAAGUGAUAAGUAUCCCACCUGGGGAGUACGUUCGCAAGAAUGAAACUCAAGGAAUUGACGG